CCGAGCGAUUAAGGGCACACGGUGGAUGCCUUGGCACCAGAGGCCGAUGAAGGACGUGGAUGGCUGCGAAAAGCCACGGGGAGCUGCCAGCAAGCUUUGAUCCGUGGAUGUCCGAAUGGGGCAACCCCACCAGCGUGAUGGCUGGUGACCCACAGUUGAAUCUAUAGGCUGUGAGGAGGUAAGCCGGGGAACUGAAACAUCUCAGUACCCGGAGGAAAGGAAAUCGACGAGACUCCGCUAGUAGUGGUGAGCGAACGCGGACGAGCCUAAACCCGUAGGACCUAAUGGGCGGCAGCCCUCUGUCCUACGUGGGGUUGUAGGACCUCUCUUCCCGUCUGCUGAGCGGGAGAGGAGUAACAAAUUCGGUGUGUAGCUGAGCGGUCUGGGAAGGCCGGCCAGAGAGGGUGACAGCCCCGUACGCGAAACGCACCGGACUCCUGAGAGGCACCUGAGUACCACGGAGCACGUGAAAUUCCGUGGGAAUCUGGGGCGACCACGCUCCAAGGCUAAGUACCUCUGGUGACCGAUAGUGAACUAGUACCGUGAGGGAAAGGUGAAAAGCACCCCGGAAGGGGGAUGAAAAGAUCCUGAAACCGUGUGCUUACAAGCAGUCGGAGCACCGCGAGGUGUGACGGCGUGCCUAUUGAAGAAUGAGCCGGCGAGUUACUAGGUGUCGCGAGCUUAAGGCCGUGGAGGGCCGAAGGCGCAGCGAAAGCGAGUCUGAAUAGGGCGACGCAGUGGCACUUAGUAGACCCGAAACCGGGUGAGCUAUCCAUGGCCAGGCUGCAGGGCGCUUAACCGCGCCUGAAGGGCCGAACCCGCUGAUGGUUCAAAAUCUUGGGAUGAGCUGUGGAUAGGGGUGAAAAGCCAAACGAACCCGGAGAUAGCUGGUUCUCCCCGAAAUGCAUUUAGGUGCAGCCCGUGAACAAGCGUCGUGGAGGUAGGGCUCUGGAUCGGCUAGCGGCCGCGAGGUUAGCAAACCGAAUCAAACUGCGAAUGCCACGACGUACUUUCCACGGAGUGAGACGGUGGGUGCGAAGGUCCAUCGUCGAGAGGGAAACAACCCAGACCGCCAGUUAAGGCCCCUAAUUUCGGACUCAGUGUCAAACGAUGUGGGAUUGCCCAGACAGCCAGGAGGUUGGCUUAGAAGCAGCCACCCUUGAAAGAGUGCGUAAUAGCUCACUGGUCGAGUGAUCCCGCGCGGAUAAUCCACCGGGGCUUAAGUCCGAAGCCGAAACUGCGGAUGCAUUGAUCCGCGGAUCAAUGCGUGGUAGGGGAGCGUUGCGUGCUGCAGUGAAGUCGUCGUGGAAACGGCGGUGGAGCGCACGGAAGCGAGAAUGCCGGCAUGAGUAGCGUAAGGGACGUGAGGAAGCGUCCCCACCGUAUGGCCGAGGUUUCCUCCGCAAGGUUCAUCCUCGGAGGGUUAGUCGGGCCUAAGCCGAGGCCGAAGGGCGUAGGCGAUGGACAGACGGUUGAUAUUCCGUCACCGUUCUCAGAUGAUCAAGUCCCCCGCGAGUGCGGGGUGGGCUAAGCCGAGCGCAUGAUUGGAUGUGCGUCUAAGCGCGCAGCGGUCUUCGGACCGCGAGGCGUGGGAAACCUGCAAAGGGAUUCGGCUCACGCUCGCCUCCUAGAAAAGCUCCCGGGGGGAGGCUGAGAGCGUCCGUACCGCAAACCGACACUGGUGGCCGGGCAUAAGUGUGCCAAGGUGGACGAGUGAUCCCUCGUUAAGGAACUAGGCAAGUUAGCCCCGUAACUUCGGGAGAAGGGGCGCCGCACGUACCGUGAACAGGCUCGCCCUGGAAGCGGGAAGCGGCCGCAGCAAAGAGGCCCAACCGACUGUUUACCAAAAACACAGCUCCCUGCAAACGCGGAAGCGGACGUAUAGGGGGUGACGCCUGCCCGAUGCCGGAAGGUCAAGGGGAGGGGUGCAAGCCCUGAACCGAAGCCCCGGUCAAUGGCGGCCGUAACUAUAACGGUCCUAAGGUGACGUCGCAUUCGCUGCCUUAGUAAAAUCUGGCUAUAUGCUGGAACGUCCGGGUAUCCCCGAGUACCACCUUAUGGGUGGUGACAAUCUUUGGGGUGCGGAAAAUCAGCAGGAAAGGCUGAUUGGAUUAGGCUGGAUCAUCGGCUUUGUAGACGGAGAAGGCUGCUUCUCCAUCGGCUUCGUGCGACAACCUGGUCGCACCAACCGACAGGGCUAUAAGACCGGGUAUCAGGUGUCGCACGAGUUCGCGGUGACACAAGGCGCGAGGAGCGUCGAGUGCCUCCACGAGCUGCGACAGUUCUUCGGAGUGGGCCAGGUGCUCAUCAAUCGGCGCCUGGACAAUCACACGGAGGACCUGUACCGCUAUGUGGUUCGCAGGCGCGCGGACCUGCGGGAGACGAUAAUUCCGUUCUUCCAGCAGUACCCGCUGCGCUCGUCAAAGCGGAGCGACUUCGAGAGGUUCGUGCAGUGUGUCGAGUUGGUUGCUACCAACCGUCACCUCACGUACGAAGGUCU
rnacentral:rRNA from 1 species